CCUACGGGUGGCUGCAGUGGGGGAUAUUGCACAAUGGGGGAAACCCUGAUGCAGCAACGCCGCGUGUGGGAAGAAGGUUCUCGGAUUGUAAACCACUGUUCUUGGUGAAGAUAAUGACGGUAAACAAGGAGAAAGCUCCGGCUAACUACGUGCCAGCAGCCGCGGUAAUUCGUAGGGAGCAAGCGUUGUCCGGAGUUACUGGGUGUAAAGGUUGCGUAGGCGGUCUUGCAAGUCAGACGUGAAAACCACAGGGUGAACCUGUGGACUGCGUUUGAAAACGGGGGGCUUGAGUGAAGUAGAGGUAGGCGGAAUUCCCGGUGUAGCGGUGAAAUGCGUAGAGAUCGGGCGGAACACCAGUGGCGAAGGCGGCCUACUGGGCUUUAACUGACGCUGAGGCACGAAAGCGUGGGUAGCGAACAGGAUUAGAUACCCGGGUAGUC
rnacentral:rRNA from 1 species